AGGACGAACGCUGGCGGCGUGCUUAACACAUGCAAGUCGAACGGUGACCCUCGGAGCUUGCUUCGGGGUGAUCAGUGGCGAACGGGUGAGUAACACGUGAGUAACCUGCCCCAGACUCUGGGAUAACCCCGGGAAACCGGAGCUAAUACCGGAUACGACACGGAGAGGCAUCUCUACUGUGUGGAAAGUUUUUCGGUCUGGGAUGGACUCGCGGCCUAUCAGCUUGUUGGUGAGGUAAUGGCUCACCAAGGCGACGACGGGUA
rnacentral:rRNA from 1 species